GUCGAACGAACUCUGGUAUUGAUUGGUGCUUGCAUCAUGAUUUACAUUUGAGUGAGUGGCGAACUGGUGAGUAACACGUGGGAAACCUGCCCAGAAGCGGGGGAUAACACCUGGAAACAGAUGCUAAUACCGCAUAACAACUUGGACCGCAUGGUCCGAGUUUGAAAGAUGGCUUCGGCUAUCACUUUUGGAUGGUCCCGCGGCGUAUUAGCUAGAUGGUGGGGUAACGGCUCACCAUGGCAAUGAUACGUAGCCGACCUGAGAGGGUAAUCGGCCACAUUGGGACUGAGACACGGCCCAAACUCCUACGGGAGGCAGCAGUAGGGAAUCUUCCACAAUGGACGAAAGUCUGAUGGAGCAACGCCGCGUGAGUGAAGAAGGGUUUCGGCUCGUAAAACUCUGUUGUUAAAGAAGAACAUAUCUGAGAGUAACUGUUCAGGUAUUGACGGUAUUUAACCAGAAAGCCACGGCUAACUACGUGCCAGCAGCCGCGGUAAUACGUAGGUGGCAAGCGUUGUCCGGAUUUAUUGGGCGUAAAGCGAGCGCAGGCGGUUUUUUAAGUCUGAUGUGAAAGCCUUCGGCUCAACCGAAGAAGUGCAUCGGAAACUGGGAAACUUGAGUGCAGAAGAGGACAGUGGAACUCCAUGUGUAGCGGUGAAAUGCGUAGAUAUAUGGAAGAACACCAGUGGCGAAGGCGGCUGUCUGGUCUGUAACUGACGCUGAGGCUCGAAAGUAUGGGUAGCAAACAGGAUUAGAUACCCUGGUAGUCCAUACCGUAAACGAUGAAUGCUAAGUGUUGGAGGGUUUCCGCCCUUCAGUGCUGCAGCUAACGCAUUAAGCAUUCCGCCUGGGGAGUACGGCCGCAAGGCUGAAACUCAAAGGAAUUGACGGGGGCCCGCACAAGCGGUGGAGCAUGUGGUUUAAUUCGAAGCUACGCGAAGAACCUUACCAGGUCUUGACAUACUAUGCAAAUCUAAGAGAUUAGACGUUCCCUUCGGGGACAUGGAUACAGGUGGUGCAUGGUUGUCGUCAGCUCGUGUCGUGAGAUGUUGGGUUAAGUCCCGCAACGAGCGCAACCCUUAUUAUCAGUUGCCAGCAUUAAGUUGGGCACUCUGGUGAGACUGCCGGUGACAAACCGGAGGAAGGUGGGGAUGACGUCAAAUCAUCAUGCCGCUUAUGACCUGGGCUACACACGUGCUACAAU
rnacentral:rRNA from 1 species